rnacentral:ncRNA from 2 species
AUAUUCGGAGGCGACGAGGCUCGCCCUUAACCGCACCAGCCGGUGCUGAUGGCCUCCACCGAUUU